AUUGAACGCUAGCGGGAUGCUUUAUACAUGCAAGUCGAACGAGUGGCGGACGGGUGAGUCAUAUAUCGGAACGUCCCCAUUAGCGGGGGAUAACUUCUCGAACGAGUGGCUAAUACCGCCUACUAUUGGAGCGGCCGAUACCGGAUUAGCUAGUGGGUGGGGUAAAGGCAAACAAAGGCAACGAUCCGUAUCCGGUUUGCGAGGACGACCAGCAACACGUGGACUGGGCCACGCCCCAGCCUCCUACGGGAGGCGGCAGUGGGGAAUUUUGGACAAUGGGGGAAACCCUGAUCCAGCCAGCCCGCGGUUAGGAAAAGGCCUUCGAUUGGUAAAGUACGUUUGGCAGAGAAGCGGUAUCUGCCGAAUAAGCACCGGCUAACUACGUGCCAGCAGCCGCGGUAAUUC
rnacentral:rRNA from 1 species